rnacentral:rRNA from 1 species
GACGAACGCUGGCGGCGUGCUUAACACAUGCAAGUCGAACGGAAAGGCCCUGCUUUUGUGGGGUGCUCGAGUGGCGAACGGGUGAGUAACACGUGAGUAACCUGCCCUUGACUUUGGGAUAACUUCAGGAAACUGGGGCUAAUACCGGAUAGGAGCUCCUGCUGCAUGGUGGGGGUUGGAAAGUUUCGGCGGUUGGGGAUGGACUCGCGGCUUAUCAGCUUGUUGGUGGGGUAGUGGCUUACCAAGGCUUUGACGGGUAGCCGGCCUGAGAGGGUGACCGGCGACAAUGGGACUGAGAUACGGCCCAGACUCCUACGGGGGGCAGCAGUGGGGAAUAUUGCACAAUGGGCGGAAGCCUGAUGCAGCAACGCCGCGGGCGGGAUGACGGCCUUCGGGUUGUAAACCGCUUUCGCCUGUGACGAAGCGUGAGUGACGGUAAUGGGUAAAGAAGCACCGGCUAACUACGUG